GCGGGGGUACCCGAGACUGGCCAAAGGGGCGGGACUUAAGAUCCCGUAGCUGAGGCUUUCGUGGGUUCAAGUCCCACCCCCCGCACCA
rnacentral:tRNA from 1 species